UACGGGGGGGGCAAGCGUUGUUCGGAAUUACUGGGCGUAAAGGGCUCGUAGGCGGCCAACUAAGUCAGACGUGAAAUCCCUCGGCUUAACCGGGGGAACUGCGUCUGAUACUGGAUGGCUUGAGGUUGGGAGAGGGAUGCGGAAUUCCAGGUGUAGCGGUGAAAUGCGUAGAUAUCUGGAGGAACACCGGUGGCGAAGGCGGCAUCCUGGACCAAUUCUGACGCUGAGGAGCGAAAGCCAGGGGAGCAAACGGG
rnacentral:rRNA from 1 species